UGGGCGAAAGCCUGACGGAGCAAGACCGCGUGGGGGAUGAAGGUUUGUGGAUUGUAAACCCCUUUUGAUUGGGAAGAAUACUGACGGUACCAAUCGAAUAAGCCUCGGCUAACUCCGUGCCAGCAGCCGCGGUAAUACGGAGGAGGCAAGCGUUAUCCGGAAUUAUUGGGCGUAAAGCGUCCGUAGGUGGUUUAGUAAGUCUGCUGUUAAAGCGCGGGGCUUAACUCCGUAUCGGCAGUGGAAACUACUAGACUAGAGUGUGGUAGGGGUAGAGGGAAUUCCCAGUGUAGCGGUGAAAUGCGUAGAUAUUGGGAAGAACACCGGUGGCGAAAGCGCUCUACUGGGCCAUAACUGACACUGAUGGACGAAAGCUANGGGAGCGAAAGGGAUUAGAUACCCCUGUAGUC
rnacentral:rRNA from 1 species